ACCCGCGCCGGGGAGCAGUGCGAAUGCGCCCCAUCCUUGAGGGACAUGCGCAGCAUGUGGGCAAACGGCGCUCCAACCGCCGUGUGCCGGGGCCGUUUGCUUGUAAAAACUGAGGUGUCUCUUUGUUUCAAAAGAAAAAGACAUGAGAAAGGUGCGGUUCUAGGGGAGCUUGUCGUCCUUGCUGCAGAGCAGUUGGGGGGUGGGGGUGAAGGGGCAGUGCCGCACUUCCCCUGAGGAGCGAUGCAGGGACGUGUGUGGCGAGGAUGUGUGCGCACAGGUGUCUGCGGAUCUCCGAGGCGGCUCUGAAGCUCUUCGGUAGUUCCAAACCGCUUUGGGAAGCCUAAGGAGGCCAGCGCUUCGACCUGGAUGUGCUGAUUCCGACCCCGAAGCAUCCGAAGUUUUCUGGAUCCGAAGCUCUGUCCAAAUCCUCGCACAGCCCUACAGUGCACUGGGAAGGGAAGAUUGCAUCGGCUGUGGCAUCCAGUGGAAUUGCUGCUACCGUGCUUACGGGAGGCAGGACUGUGCACCGAAGGUUCAGGGUACCCCUGAACGUGUUGAAAACCAGCACCUGCAGCAUAUCAGCCCAGUCUGACUUUGCUGAGCUGAUUCGAGAAGCACCUAUCAUCAUCUGUGAUGAAGCACCAAUGGCUCAUCGGUACAUGCUGGAGACUAGAUCGGAUGCUGUGAGAUUUACUGCAGACCAAUUUACCUUUUAGUGGCAAGGUGAUAUAGUGUUUGGGGAUGAUAUUCAGCAAAUCCUGCCUGUUGUGAAAAAUGCCUCAAGGCUACAAAUAGUAGAGGCAUGCUUCAAGUGAUCUGAGUUGUGGAGCCACUUCCAGGUUUUCCAACUUGGUGAGAACAUGCAACUAUGUAAGGAAGGUUUUGAUGCACGAAGUGCAAAAUACGCUCAGCAAAGAUAGAAUGGACAUUUCCAAAUCUAUUGGAUAACUAUCAAAAUCCAGGAUGGACAUCUGAAAGAGCUAUUUUGGCACCGCAUUAUUCCAUUGUACAGGAGAUCAUCAGUGCUACUGGGGCAAAAUUUCCAGGCCAAGAAUGGAUUUGUAUAAGCGCAGGUGCUCUUUCAGAGGAUGAACGUGUUAUGGCUGUGCCAACUGAGUACCUGAAUUCCAUGGAGGUGUCAGGUUUGCCUCCACAUCAGCUCCACCUUAAGCCUGGGAUGCUCAUCAUGCUUCUGCGAAACCUUGCCCCUAAGGUCUGUGCAGUGGAACGUGGCUGUUGGUGCAAUCCAUCAUCAACAGCAGACUACAUGAGGCAAAAAUUGUUGGAUCAGAAAGAACAGUACUAAUUCCUCGGGUAGCACUGAAGCUGUCUGACGACACCUUUCCAUUCAUGUGGACACGUCUACAGUUCCCUGUGCAGGUGGCAUUCAGCAUGACCAUCAAUAAAGCCUUAGGGCAAACAUUAAAAAGAGUAGGAGUGUUCCUUCUGGAUCUUGUCUUCACUCAUGGACAACUAUAUGUGGCUGCUUCCAGAAUCUCCCACCCAGAAAUCAUUCGAUUUGAAGUGACUGCUGACUCGAGUAACAAACCAGGAAUGUUGUGUGUACAGAAGUGUUGUAAAUCUCUUACAGUAAGGAAGUGUCAUAUGUUUGAGGAUUUUAUGUAUGCGGAAGUGUUGUGAAGCUGUUGAAGUGCAAUAAAAUAUGAUCUCAAGCAAAAA